GGAGGUGUGCCUGAGAACAUUAAGGACUACCCUGAUAGAGUAGAUACGGGACCACAAACCCCGCCUCCC
rnacentral:tRNA from 1 species